rnacentral:lncRNA from 1 species
AGAUUAAGUGGACAGUUUGCAAGAUUGAAAUCAAAAUACAACAUGAUACAAGUGCAAGAUGUCAGCAUUCACACUUGGUAUUUUUCAUACAGGUGUUUAUCACACAACAUCAUGCCAAUGUUAACCAAAUCUACAGAUGGCACAACACCAUGCCAAUGUUAACCAAAUCUACAGAUGGCAUGGCAAUAUACCAAAACUCAUGAUAUUACACCGAGGGAAAUGGUAAGCUCCCAAGGAACAAAUAGAUUGUCAUGUUUCAGAUUUUCUGAAAGACCCAUGGAAUGUACUCAGAAUUCAGAUUUUCAUUCGGAGAUAGAUCAAAAGAUGUACACAAGAUGUAUUGGAACUUGGGCUAAACACCCAGGUACAUGCACCAUGAAGUACACUGGACAAGCAAACCUGCAUCACCGCAACUGUGAAUAUGUGGCAUCGCUUUUCCAAGUAAAACAGAACAAAAAUUAGGCUAAAGAUAAUUAGGCAUCUUAAGAUCUGGAGAACUAAAAAGACAACUAGCUGACUGGCUGUACCAUGAUGCAAAUACUUAAGGCAAAAUCCAACAAAGUUUAUAAUCUACCAACUAGAACAUAUAACCUGGACACAAAAGAUGGUGCAACACCACACAUGAUCCAUGUUGUUAGCUUGGCAAAAUAAGAGUAAAAUCUUUUAUUGUGAUAUGUCUAGAUCACAUAGCAUUCAUAACUAAGCAUGCCAGUGUAAAUAUUACCAUUCAUAAUUAAACCCACAAGAGAGAACUGGGGCUAAUUUGUCCCGCUGCAACUUCAGUGCUAAUUUGGACAAUUAAUCUCCUUCUGCCUUCGUUUCUUCUCCUGCUUCUCGAAUCUGUAAUGCAAACACAUCUGGUCAAAAGGAAAAUCACAUAACACAAUUACUGUCACAGGGAACAUGGAGGGUGAGGGACUUACUUCUCUUGCUCUUCAAUGGCAUUCCACACCUGUUGUCUCUGGUCCAUGCAUGGCUUCGCACAUUUCCAUUUGCUUGUCAACACCACUUGAUCUUUCGACGCCACACUCUUCUGAAAUAUUAAAAUAUGUCUGCCUAUAUCAUUUGUGGUAUACAUGAUGACGUAUAUACAUAAAAUUAUACAAUGUGAGCUUCGUUGCUGGUAAAUGCAACCUCACACAUUGUCCUGUAUCUUGUGAAUUGUAGGUAAAAACAAUGGCUAGAAUUAAACAUGAUUGUGAAGAAAUUUUGAAGGUAGUCUCACAAAAAAAAUUAGCUAACAUGGUCUCCAUCAGCGAGCUGAGAAAACGGGGUACACACGAGAUUCAUACAUAUCCCCAAACGCCAUUCUCCAUCUUUUUUUAGUAAGUACUCCCUCCAUCCCAUAAUAUAAGACGUUAUGUGAGCAUAUUGGAUGUAAUAACGUCAUAUAUUGUGGGACGGAGGGAGUAACGAUUACUUAUGUCAGUUAGUAAUCCAAAAAUCGUCUUAUACGCUACUAACUAGGCUGUAAUGCACCUCAUGUCACAUCUGAUUAUUUCUUUUUGUACACUAUAUGUCACCAUUAAUUUGAAGCAGGAAAUUGUCACACAAUAAGCUAAGUUUCACCAUGCAACCUGUGUGCUGUUUCUUGGGAUGCAUCAUUUUUCAUUUUGCCAUCAAGUGAUAUGAAGUGACGAGGUUGACUCGAUGUUCAAAGUGGUGUAUAUGCUGAUAAGACAUCAUUUUUGUCCAAAAAUAAAUUAGUGAUCUAAACAAUCUUAUAUUUCUUUACAGAGGGAGUAAAUAUCAGGAUGCACAAAUAAGCAAAAGAACGGCGAUAUAACGACACUCCCAUAACUAGACAUGUUAAUACCUAGUAUUAGUUUUGUGUGUCUCUGAUGACACUUAACAUGUACGGGUUAAUCUUGAAUCCGUGUGUGAUGCAUAUCAUCACAGAAGGAAAACCAUUUCUGGAGUAGUGUUAUUUAUACGGACAACAAGGGGAUGCUGCUGUAGUACAUGACCAGAAAACAAGUAAUAGUGUACAUGACUUCCACCAAAUACUACUGGUACAUUAGUGCAUGCAUUUGGUGAAGAUCUGAUAGAACCGUGGACCUAUCUACAUCCAAACCCAGUGCGUGUAUCUCAUCUGAUCUGAUCUCAGUGAUCUGGUUGAUGCAGUUGCUUACAUAGAAAGAUAAGUGGAGGAGGUGGAGGCGCAGGGGGUGGAAAUGAAAUGCUGACUAGCAGGAAUGGUGGUGGAAUAUCGGAUGGGACCACGCUUUGCAUGGUGCCAUGCUAACAUUUCUCAAGAAACAUAUUCAAAUGCUUUCAGUACUCACAAACCAUCUAUACAAAAUUGCAGAUACAAAGUUGAAACACACAGUGGGAAACAUGAAAGGCAAAUUCAGUAUGAAUGGUGUGGCAGAAAAUACAAAAUCCUGAGUGACACUACUCACAAUCAGAUUUCUGUCUUCUUUGUUUCAACGUGUGCGCUUCGAGUUCAGACUUAAUCGUUUAGCUGACUACACACACACAGCUCCUUACACUCGCCACUUUCCAAUAAUUUUAAGCAGCAUCUAUAUGUCUGUUUCUAAAUUCUGCAUCAUGGGACCAAUUACGGUGUGGGAGCAUAAGCUAUCUUACCAAAAUUUACCUGUUCGCAUCCUACACAAGCCACAUGAACGAUCAUCUUCAUGCCGUUCAUUCAGCUAGUCGAACUUACAGAAAGUAUGGCAGCGAAUUUCAAGGCGGCGUACGUCAAACAUAGUAGCAUUCAACAAACAGUAAAUAGCUGGUGCCCUGCAAUGGCUAGCUUCAGGCCGCACCUGUUUGUCCAUCCACGCGCCUCUGGAUUCACCUUCCUACCUGCCCUGCCUCGAAGAAGCCUCCCACCGGCGGCGCCCGUCGCCUUCCUACCUGCCCUGUAUUGCGCCCCCAACACGCUCGCCGCACCAGGAACCGGGUCAGCGCUUGUGUCGGCAAUCCGCUGGAGAUCCGCCAGAGGAACCGGAUCCGGGUGGUCCAAGUUGUCCGCAUCAUAGUGGG